UACGUAGGUGGCAAGCGUUAUCCGGAUUUACUGGGCGUAAAGCGUGCGCAGGCGGCCCGUUAAGACAGGUGUGAAAUCCCUGGGCUCAACCUAGGAAUUGCGCUUGUGACUGGCGGGCUCGAGUACGGUAGAGGGGGGUGGAAUUCCUAGUGUAGCAGUGAAAUGCGUAGAGAUCAGGAGGAACACCGAUGGCGAAGGCAGCCCCCUGGCCCUGUACUGACGCUCAUGCACGAAAGCGUGGGGAGCAAACAGG
rnacentral:rRNA from 1 species